rnacentral:lncRNA from 1 species
CCUCAAUAGUGUACAUGUGUAAUAUAUUGGUAGAUACAUAUAUUUUAUAAUAUCGAUAAAUUAUGUAUGUAUGUAUGUAUGUAUGUAUUUAUGUACAUACGUAUGUAUGAUAGUGUGUAAAUAUUUAAUGUAACUUUUGUUCAAUAUAUAGAUAUUAAACAGGUUAUUGGGUAACCCGAUUAUUUUUCCGUGUCGGGUUUGGGUCUCAAUAUUUUGACACGAUUAUUAAAUGAGUCGGGUUUGGAUCGACCUAAAUUUGACACGACACGAAGCUGACACGACACGAACACGACCCGAUGACCCGUUUUGCCAGCUCUAACCAAUACCACUAAGAUUCAUAAAAUUACAAUAAUAUAAUAAAAUAGGACUCCCUCAAAAGUCGGUGGUUAAUUUAUUUGCAAGCACAUGACUUAUUUUCUUGAAGACUCAAAAAGUAUAUGUUCUCUUUCUUUCCUCCGGUACAUCCUUAACGCUAAUGUUUAUGUAAUGUUGAAUUAUCUGUAGAAUUUUUCUAAUUGUUAAUAUCAAAACUUAGUUAAUUUUUAAUAAAUAAUAACAACAAAUACAAUUUUAAAUUUCAGAGUUCUGACAAGCACAUUAUUUGUAAAACCCCAAAGCAGGCCGAGGACAUUGAGCCUAAGCACUCAAUACAAGAAGCCCAAUAAGCCACCCUUUCUUCAGCCCCCCGGUCUUUACUUUUAGAACCCGUAUUACAAUGAUUUUUCAAAAUCAUUUAUAUCUUCGAAAAUCAUUAGCUAACACAAUUUUUUUUUUCUUUUUCCCCUUUGAAGGAAACACUCAUUUAUAUUUUAAUAUUUACUCUGAUGGUCUUAUGGCAUCAUCUAAUGUUACCAUCAGAAAAAAUAAAUAAAU